rnacentral:rRNA from 1 species
UGGGGAAUUUUGCACAAUGGGGGAAACCCUGAUGCAGCGACGCCGCGUGAUUUAGAAGGCCUUCGGGUUGUAAAAAUCUUUUCUAUGGGAAGAAAAUGACAGUACCAUAGGAAUAAGGACCGGCUAAUUACGUACCAGCAGCCGCGGUAAUACGUAAGGUCCGAGCGUUGUCCGGAAUCAUUGGGCGUAAAGGGUACGUAGGCGGGUAAGCAAGUUAGAAGUGAAAUCCUGUAGCUCAACUACAGUAAGCUUUUAAAACUGCUCAUCUUGAGAUAUGGAAGGGAAAGUGGAAUUCCUAGUGUAGCGGUGAAAUGCGCAGAUAUUAGGAGGAAUACCGGUGGCGAAGGCGACUUUCUGGCCAUAAUCUGACGCUGAGGUACGAAAGCGUGGGUAGCAAACAGG